CUAUCCAUGGCCAGGUUGAAGGUGUGGUAACACACACUGGAGGACCGAACCGACUAGUGUUGCAAAAUUAGCGGAUGAGCUGUGGAUAGGGGUGAAAGGCUAAACAAAUCUGGAGAUAGCUGGUUCUCCCCGAAAACUAUUGAGGUAGUGCCUCGUGUAUUGCUCCAGGGGGUAGAGCACUGUUAUGGCUAGGGGGACAUGGCGUCUUACCAAACCAUGGCAAACUCCGAAUACUUGGAAGUUUGAGCACGGGAGACAGAGCACCGGGUGCUAACGUCCGGACUCAAGAGGGAAACAACCCAGACCGCCGGCUAAGGUCCCUAAUAUUGACUAAGUGGAAAACGAAGUGGAAAGGCUAAGACAGUCAGGAAGUUGGCUUAGAAGCAGCCAUCCUUCAAAGAAAGCGUAAUAGCUCACUGAUCGAGUCCUCAUGCGCGGAAGAUGUAACGGGGCUAAGUCAAUAACCGAAGCCGCGGAUUCACACUUGUGUGUGAGUGGUAGGGGAGCGUUCUGUAAGCCUGCGAAGGUGACUCGUAAGGGUUGCUGGAGGUAUCAGAAGUGCGAAUGCUGACAUGAGUAACGUUAAAGCGGGUGAAAAGCCCGCUCGCCGUAAGCCCAAGGUUUCCUGCUCUACGUUCAUCGGAGCAGGGUGAGUCGGCCCCUAAGGUGAGGCUGAGAAGCGUAACUGAUGGGAACAAGGUUAAUAUUCCUUGACCACCGCUGAAUGCGAAGGGGGGACGGAGUAUUGAAGAUCAUCCGGGUGUUGGAUAUCCCGGUUUGCGAGCGUAGGAGGCUGACAGGCAAAUCCGUCAGCGGAUCUCCGAGGCAAAGCAUCGAGCUCUCUUUUGAGCGAAGUGAUUGGAUGUGCUUCCAGGAAAAGCCUCUAAGCUCCAGUUCAGCGGGACCGUACCGCAAACCGACACUGGUGGGCGAGCUGAAUAUGCUCAGGCGCUUGAGAGAACUCAGGAGAAGGAACUCGGCAAAUUGACACCGUAACUUCGGGAUAAGGUGUGCCUUUGUAGCGUGGAGGGAGAAACACCCCGAGCGCGAAGAGGUCUCAGAUAAUCGGUGGCUGCGACUGUUUAUUAAAAACACAGCACUCUGCAAAGACGAAAGUCGACGUAUAGGGUGUGAUGCCUGCCCGGUGCUGGAAGAUUAAUUGAUGGGGUGCAAGCUCCUGAUCGAAGUCCCAGUAAACGGCGGCCGUAACUAUAACGGUCCUAAGGUAGCGAAAUUCCUUGUCGGGUAAGUUCCGACCUGCACGAAUGGCGUAACGAUGGCCACACUGUCUCCUCCCGAGACUCAGUGAAGUUGAAAUGUUUGUGAUGAUGCAAUCUCCCCGCGGCUAGACGGAAAGACCCCAUGAACCUUUACUGUAGCUUUGCAUUGGACUUUGAACCGAUCUGUGUAGGAUAGGCGGGAGCCUGUGAAACCACAACGCCAGUUGUGGCGGAGGCGUCCUUGAAAUACCGCCCUGAUUUGUUUGAGGUUCUAACCUGGGACAGUCAUCCUGUCCGGGGACCGUGCAUGGUAGGCAGUUUGACUGGGGCGGUCUCCUCCUAAAGGGUAACGGAGGAGUGCGAAGGUACGCUAGGUACGGUCGGAAAUCGUGCUGAUAGUGCAAUGGCAAAAGCGUGCUUGACUGCGAGACCCACAAGUCGAGCAGAUACGAAAGUAGGUCAUAGUGAUCCGGUGGCUCUGUAUGGAAGGGCCAUCGCUCAACGGAUAAAAGGUACUCUGGGGAUAACAGGCUGAUACCGCCCAAGAGUUCAUAUCGACGGCGGUGUUUGGCAC
rnacentral:rRNA from 1 species